rnacentral:lncRNA from 1 species
CCUCGUCGCUGGGAAUGGUUUUGUUGCAAGUAGACAAGAGUUUUCUGGAAACGUUUGUGGGAAAUAUGUGUCUUUAAGGGAUACCCUGUUGGCAGUACCGGCCCCACAAUAGCAGUAGUUUCAUGUUCCAACAGCGGUCAGCUAAAGGUACUUGGAUGGACAGACAUUGUGCUCCGUCGACUCGCUGGUCACAACGACUUUGUACGUGUUUCUUCAGUGAACCAAAUGAUGAAAGUCGCCACCGAGAAUCCACCUGCGAGCAUCUUCUGUAUUUACCGUUCACCACAGACCUCCAAGAUCAUUCACCGCAACAUCUUUAUAUCGAACAAUCUCACUAUCAUGGCAUUCGGUUGAUGAACAUAUCCACCACCACCACCAAUAACAAUAACAACAACCAUGACCACCACCACGGAGCUGUGUUCGACGGGAAAACAUACCUGAGGCUUCCAUAUUUCAACACCAAUUCAUUGGGCCAAAACACAAACAUCAAGUUCAGUUUUAAACCCAGCCGACAGCAGUUUGUGAGAGGGAGCAAUGGUGAUGGCAGAGAUGGAAGUAGAGGCCGAGUGGACACU